rnacentral:misc_RNA from 1 species
UCCGGUUUGUCACCGGCAGUCUCAUUAGAGUGCCCAACUAAAUGUAGCAACUAAUGACAAGGGUUGCGCUCGUUGCGGGACUUAACCCAACAUCUCACGACACGAGCUGACGACAGCCAUGCAGCACCUGUGUUCAGGCUCCCUUUCGGGCACAUCGACCUCUCGGCCAACUUCCUGACAUGUCAAGGGUAGGUAAGGUUUUUCGCGUUGCAUCGAAUUAAUCCACAUCAUCCACCGCUUGUGCGGGUCCCCGUCAAUUCCUUUGAGUUUUAAUCUUGCGACCGUACUCCCCAGGCGGUCGACUUCACGCGUUAGCUGCGGUACUAAGGAAGUCUCCUUCCCCAACACCUAGUCGACAUCGUUUAGGGCGUGGACUAC